rnacentral:tRNA from 1 species
GCGGCGUUAGCUCAUCCGGAUAGAGCACGGGCCUUCUAAGCCCGGGGUAACAGGUUCGAGUCCUGUACGCCGCGCCA